AUAUACACUGAGUGGCCCGAUUAUUAUGAUCUCUGAACGCAUAAUGAUCUGGCCACUCAGUGUGUGUGUG
rnacentral:pre_miRNA from 1 species